GCAGACGCUUCGCCGCAGUCGCGCGCAGUCGCCAUUUCUGUGUUGUCGUCGUCUCGUCAUGGCUGCGGCUCCUUCUUCGGAUAUUUAGUCCUCGCCGCCUCAAUUUUCGUCGGGUUUUGGGCGGCGGGCGCCCACACUUUUGGGCAGCAAUGAACAACAUGUGGUCAGGAGCCCCCCAGUGGGCCUCUUGGGCUCUACAGCCCCAACAUUACCAAACAUGAAGCCGGAGGAAGCAUCCUCUGUAGACUGGGCAGAACUUGCAAAACAGUGGAUCCAGAUGAAAGAAACCACGUCGUCCUCGCAAGAUUCGAUGGAGCCUACGCAGUCUACGGCAGAUGUAUCUUCGAGUCCACCAGCGCCUCCGGCGGAAGACAAUGCAACAGCUGGUGGGGAAAUGGACAUGGAAAUUGAAGAUGAUAAGGGUCCAUCUGCCAAUGGUGGGGAACAACA